rnacentral:misc_RNA from 1 species
UGGCUCUCGCAUCGAUGAAGAACGCAGCGAAAUGCGAUACGUAAUGUGAAUUGCAGAAUUCAGUGAAUCAUCGAAUCUUUGAACGCAUAUUGCGCUCUUUGGUAUUCCGAAGAGCAUGCUUGUUUGAGUAUCAGUAAACACCUCAACCUCUCUUUUUGACAAAAAAAGGAGGGUGGACUUGAGCUAUCCCAACGACCUUCACCGGUAGGCGGGCGGCUUGAAAUGCAGGUGCAGCUGGACUUUUAUCUGAGCUAAAAGCAUAUCUAUUUAGUCCUCGUCAAACAGGAUUAUUACUUUUGCUGCAGCUAACAUAAAGGAUAAUUGUCCUCUUUGCUGACUGAUGCAGGAUUUUACGACACUUUAUGUGUUGUUCAACUCGAUCUCAAAUCAAGUAAGACUACCCGCUGA